GACCGAGUUCACGCCGAGUGGAAUACGGCAGUUUGUGUCAGACCACGGAGCUCGGAAGAUGCUCCCGGUUGUUCACGUGACGGGCGGACCACCCUCGUCGCGACGGCGGCGUCGCGCCACCGCGUACCCUCUCGGUGCCGCCGCGUCGAUCGUCGUCCCCGGGGAACCCGAGGGGAACCACCAGCACCACCGAGCGCGAGAGACCACCGCCGGUGCCGGUAGAAUCAGCAGACCGACAUCCACUGCCACGAUGACGAUGAUGGCCUUAACCGUCCUCUUGGUCCUCCUGGUACCCGCGGCGUUUCCGGACAAGAUAACUAUCGGUGCCAUUUUUGAGCAGGGCACCGACGAGGUGCAGUCCGCCUUCAGGUUCGCGAUGAGGAAUCACAAUCAGAACGUCACCACUCGCAAGUUUGAGCUGCAAGCCUUCGUGGAUGUGAUCAACACCGCGGACGCCUACAAGCUGUCCCGUCUCAUUUGCAACCAGUUCAGCAGAGGCGUGUUCUCGAUGUUGGGCGCCGUGAGUCCAGACUCGUUCGAUACGCUGCACUCUUAUAGCAACACCUUCCAGAUGCCAUUCGUGACACCCUGGUUCCCCGAGAAGGUUCUGACGCCGUCCUCGGGUCUCCUGGACUUCGCCAUAAGUAUGCGACCGGAUUACCAUCGCGCCAUCAUCGAUACCGUGCGAUACUACGGCUGGAAGAAAAUCAUCUACCUCUACGACUCCCACGACGGACUGCUCAGGCUGCAGCAGAUUUAUCAGGGGCUGAAACCAGGCAACGAGUCCUUUCAAGUCGAAACCGUCAAGAGAAUACAGAAUAUGUCAGAGGCGAUCGAUUUUCUACGCAGCCUGGAGGAACAUAACCGAUGGAGUAACAAAUACGUCGUUCUCGACUGUCCGACCGACAUGGCGAAGGAUAUCGUCGUGAGUCACGUGAGGGACGUCGCGUUGGGAAAGAGAACGUACCAUUACCUGCUGAGUGGCCUGAUAAUGGAUGACCGAUGGGAGAGCGAGGUGAUCGAGUACGGCGCCAUCAACAUCACGGGUUUUCGCAUCGUGGACGUCACUCGACCCCACGUCAAGGAUUUCCUGACCAGCUGGCAUCGCCUGGACCCCACGUCGCAAACCACCGGUCGUGAAUCCAUUUCCGCGCAAGCCGCAUUGAUGUACGACGCCGUGUUCGUCCUGAUUGAAGCCUUCAACAAAUUCCUGAGGAAGAGGAGCGAUAAAAGUAAUACGAGACGAAUAGUAGCUUCUGGCAGCAGCCAGCUCAUGAACGGGACGAAAUUCUUGGACUGCAACAGCAAUCGCACCUGGGUCACCCCAUGGGAAUACGGCGACAAGAUCUCCAAGUUCUUAAGAAAGGUCGAGAUUGAGGGGUUGACGGGCGAGAUACGGUUCAACGAUGAUGGCCGACGACAGAAUUACACGCUUCACGUAGUCGAGAUGACUGUCAACAGUGCUAUGGUUAAAGUCGCCGAGUGGACCGACGAGGGCGGUUUUCAAGCUAUAGCCGCGAAAUACGUGCGACUCCGUCCGCAUGAAAUCGAGAAGAACAGAACCUACAUUGUUACUACAAUACUGGAGGAGCCCUAUAUAAUGAGGAAGAUGUCGGAUACAGGUGAAGCAUUAGUCGGAAACGACAGUUACGAGGGGUAUUGUAAAGAUUUAGCUGAUCUCAUCGCCAAGAAGCUGGGCAUAUCAUACGAGCUGCGGAUCGUGAAGGACGGAAAAUAUGGCACGGAAAACCCGGACGUCCCGGGCGGUUGGGACGGCAUGGUCGGGGAGCUUAUCAGAAAGGAGGCCGACAUAGCAAUCGCUCCCAUGACUAUCACCUCCGAACGAGAACGCGUGAUCGACUUUAGUAAACCGUUCAUGUCCCUCGGCAUCAGCAUCAUGAUAAAGAAACCCAUCAAACAGAAACCCGGGGUCUUCAGCUUCCUGAAUCCGCUGAGCAAGGAGAUCUGGGUGUGCAUUAUUUUCUGCUACAUGGCAGUCUCCAUCGUCCUGUUUAUCGUGUCAAGAUUCUCGCCGUAUGAAUGGAGAGUUCUAACGAUUAGCGGUAGCACGGACUCGGCUAUUAGUGGACGAAACGAUCCCAGUUUGCCGCAUCCGCACACGCCGCAAGGUUCACCCCACAUACCAACUUCCAGCAUGGCCAACGACUUCAGCAUCGUAAAUAGCCUGUGGUUCGCUCUGGCGGCGCUUAUGCAACAGGGCUGCGAUAUCUGGCCCAGAUCCAUAUCCGGGCGCAUCGCGAGCAGCGUCUGGUGGUUCUUCACCCUGAUUUUGAUAUCCUCGUACACCGCGAACCUCGCCGCGUUUCUCACCGUCGAGAGAAUGAUCACGCCAAUUAACUCGGCCGAGGAUCUGGCGGCACAAACGGAGGUCCAAUACGGCACCCUCGCUCACGGCUCCACUUGGGAUUUUUUUCGAAAAUCUCAGAUCAGCCUGUACAGCAAGAUGUGGGAGUUCAUGAACUCGCGGAAGCACGUGUUCGUGAAGUCGUACGAGGAGGGAAUACGACGAGUGCGAACGAGCAAGGGCAAGUACGCGCUUCUGAUCGAGAGCCCGACGAACGAUUACGUCAACGAGCGGGAGCCCUGCGACACGAUGAAAGUCGGCAGGAACCUCGAUGCCAAGGGAUUCGGGAUCGCGACGCCGUUAGGCUCUCUUCUCAAGGAUCCCAUAAACCUGGCGGUGCUAUCCCUGAAGGAGAACGGCGAACUGGCGAAGCUGGUGGAACGAUGGUGGUACGAGAGGACAGAGUGCAGGCACGGUGAGAAGCAGGACACUACCAGAAACGAGUUAUCGCUGAGCAACUUGGCGGGAAUAUUUUAUAUCCUUAUCGGUGGCCUUCUUCUGGCACUCGCCGUAGCUCUCUUGGAAUUCUGCUACAAGUCGCACACGGAGGCGACGCGAGCAAAGAUACCGCUGUCAGACGCGAUGAAGGCGAAAGCACGACUGACCAUUGGUGGUGGUCGCGAUUUCGACAAUGGACGGUGGUACGGACUGCAGAGUUAGACGGAGGAUGCAUGCGCCUUUCCCGGGACCAUAUCGCGGGAAGAAACGGGUACUGGCUGCAGAGGUGCCAACUCUGACCACGUUCGCGCCGAAGUACUACGCUCCAGCAAACG
rnacentral:misc_RNA from 1 species